AUUGAACGCUGGCGGCAUGCCUUACACACGCAGGUCGAACGGUAACAGGUCUUCGGAUGCUGACGAGUGGCGAACGGGUGAGUAAUACAUCGGAACGUGCCUAGUAGUGGGGGAUAACUACUCGAAAGAGUGGCUAAUACCGCAUGAGAUCUACGGAUGAAAGCAGGGGAUCGCAAGACCUUGUGCUACUAGAGCGGCCGAUGGCAGAUUAGGUAGUUGGUGGGAUAAAAGCUUACCAAGCCGACGAUCUGUAGCUGGUCUGAGAGGACGAUUAGCCACACUGGGACUGAGACACGGCCCAGACUCCUACGGGAGGCAGCAGUGGGGAAUUUUGGACAAUGGGCGAAAGCCUGAUCCAGCAAUGCCGCGUGCAGGAUGAAGGCCUUCGGGUUGUAAACUGCUUUUGUACGGAACGAAAAGCCCUGGGUUAAUACCCUGGGGUCAUGACGGUACCGUAAGAAUAAGCACCGGCUAACUACGUGCCAGCCGCCGCGGUAA
rnacentral:rRNA from 1 species